rnacentral:rRNA from 1 species
AUUGAACGCUGGCGGAAUGCUUUACACAUGCAAGUCGAGCGGCAGCACGGGGGCAACCCUGGUGGCGAGCGGCGAACGGGUGAGUAAUACAUCGGAACAUGCCCAGUCGUGGGGGAUAACACUUCGAAAGAAGUGCUAAUACCGCAUACGUCCUGAGGGAGAAAGCGGGGGAUCGCAAGACCUCGCGCGAUUGGAGUGGCCGAUGUCAGAUUAGCUAGUUGGUGGGGUAAAGGCCUACCAAGGCAACGAUCUGUAGCUGGUCUGAGAGGAUGAUCAGCCACACUGGGACUGAGACACGGCCCAGACUCCUACGGGAGGCAGCAGUGGGGAAUUUUGGGCAAUGGGGGCAACCCUGAUCCAGCCAUUCCGCGUGAGUGAAGAAGGCCUUCGGGUUGUAAAGCUCUUUCGGCAGGAACGAAACGGUGAGCUCUAACAUAGCUCGCUAAUGACGGUACCUGAAGAAGAAGCACCGGCUAACUACGUG